rnacentral:rRNA from 1 species
UACCAGCACCCCGAGUGGUCGGGACGUUUAUUGGGCCUAAAGCAUCCGUAGCCGGUUCUGCAAGUCUUCCGUUAAAUCCACCUGCUUAACAGAUGGGCUGCGGAAGAUACUAUAGAGCUAGGAGGCGGGAGAGGCAAGCGGUACUCGAUGGGUAGGGGUAAAAUCCGUUGAUAUCAUGGGGAACACCAAAAGCGAAGGCAGUACAUUGGGCCACUCCUGACACUGAAACACGAAAGCGUGGGUAGCGAAUGGG